CUUGGUUACGCCACUGCACAUAUCCCCUCGUUGCCUCGAAAUAACCUGUACAUGCAGUGUGCAUUAGAUACACAAAACCUGUUGUCUCCAUUUCCAUGUAAUCACGUGAAAAUGGGCAGUGUCACGUGUUCUGUUCUAGUUGCCCCUACUUUAAAGUUGGGUGAGCCAGAACAGUUCCAAACAGUCAUGUGAUCGUGUUCUGUUCCAUAUUCCAUUAGUGUUCCCAAAUCCGGGGUAUUUCCGAACAGUAAAUGGAGCAUCUUCCUG